AUUUGUCCCCUAAAUAGGGACUCGUAUGAACGGCUAAAUGAGGUUCUAACUGUCUCAUUAGACUAAUCAAUGAAACUGAUCUUUCAGUACAAAAGCUGAAAUAAACCCAUAAGACGAGAAGACCCUGUGGAGCUUAAAACUUAUACUAUAAACAAACCCCCCUUUUCUUUUAGUUGGGGCGACUUUGGAACAAAACAAAACUUCCAUGACAGGUCCCUAUCAAGGCCCACACGCCAAAAUAACUACUUAUUGACCCAGCCACUCUUAGCUGAUCAACGAACCAAGUUACCCCAGGGAUAACAGCGCCAUCCUCUUCAAGAGUCCCUAUCGACAAGAGGGUUUACGACCUCGAUGUUGGAUCAGGACACCCCGGUGGUGCAACCGCUA
rnacentral:rRNA from 1 species